AUUUUGACGUCGUCCGGGCCUGCGGCCCCUUUGAGCCCGAUAUGACACCGCCCAACCACCGUUUCAGUUCAAACCUCCCGCUCGUGCGUGCGUGUGUGCGUGUGUGUCUAGCCCGGCAAGAGGGCGCUUAGCUGCAGUGCACCGCACCCCUAAUUUGCUACGUUUUAAUAUUAUUUGUAAACCCUUUUUGUUUUCAUUCGUCUUUGCCCCAGUGUUGUGCAAUUUACUUGUGUUUUCUGUAAUUUAAAUAGGUUACCUUAAAUAACUAUAGACGUUGCCCGGGCGGACCCGAACAGGCACGGACUUGGACGAGGAUAGGAAUGCUUUUAUAUGAAUUAUCAUUAAAUAAGUAAAUAGUAACAAACUUUCCAUUGUCAGUAAUUUUUAUAUAUUUUUAAUGUUUAUCUGUAAUUUACUCAACUUUCGCCGGGGCACGGAGUCGUAGAAUACAGUAACGGUAAUUGUGUUGGCGCGAAGGGCGCCAUGUUGCCACCUGCGAGCGAUGAGCUCAGCCCAGUCCAUCUUCAUCACUGACCGAGAGCAGACGCGCCAGCACCCCGGGGACUUCAACCUUUGUUCUGCACUGACCAAGUAAUUCUGUCUCGUUAAGUAUUUCUGAAUCUCUUUCGCUCGUCAUCCUCGGGGCAGCUCUCGGCCAGCGGGCUGUUUAAUUAAUUAAUUGUCUCAGUCGAGUUUUUUCAUCACCGUGUAAUAAGUAUACUUUGCAGCAUGGCCACGUGUGUGGACCAUGCCCUCACCUAAACCGAUUCGUGCCUCAGGCUUUUUAACCGUGUAAUGUGUAACGUGUAACGGGCGUGUAGAGAGACGUGUUAGUGAAAUUAAAUCUGGAGAAUAAAUAUAAAGUGAGUACUUAUUUAAUCACGUGGUGAGUGAGUCUAGGAGUGUGGCGUGCCCGACGCCUAGAGCGGGCCAGGUCUGGGUAGCUAGGAUAGAAAGGGCUGGUAACUCGUCCCCACUUGGGCUACGUCACGCCCUGAGUGAGAGACUCCGCCGGGUCCACGUGCCCUUCCACGUGGUGGCGCCCAUAGUUAACAUCUCGAAAUCACCGGCAAUGCGCGAUCAGCCCGCAAAUGGCGCCCAAGAGCGUGGGGCGAGUUACAUCUUCCGCGAAAACCAGACCUGUACGAGCGUGUGAGAUAGGCGGUUGUUACGCGGAGCGCGCGGAACUAAAGUUCGCGCUGGAACUAUUGUUCGCGCGGAGCGCAUAGCGGGACUCUGGCGCGCCAGCCACGUGAUCAGCCAAGCGCACGCUUCCAGGAAUCCGCGCACAAACAACGGACUCCGAGCGCAGUAAGUAACACAGUGCUGAUGUGUUCGUGAGGACUGUUCGCGUGUAGAGUACCACGUGCGUAGACAUGUAUCCGUAUCCGGACGAGUGUAUCGGGUGUUACUUUCCCUGCCCGAGUUGGGACUUGUAUGGCAGGACCGCCGCCGGAUAUGAGUGUGGCUACUGUACGGAGUACCGCAUACACGGCGUGACGAAGUGUGGAGCGAGGUCGUGUCCCGGAGGUAGUAGCGAGGGCUACCGCUGCCAGGAAUGUGCCGGCCUGUGGCAUCGUGGCUGUAUCGGCGAGCGUGAAUGGACAAUACUGCGCAAGUUUUUUACCUUCACGUGCGCACGAUGCACUGCCGACCUAGCCACCCAGGCGCAGUACGAGGCAGAGACGCCGAAAAAGACGCCGCUCACGUCGACGCCAACGCCGCUCACGCCGACGACGCCAACCACACCGAAAAAGACGCCGCUCACGCCGACGACGCCAACCACACCGAAAAAGACGCCGCUCACGCCGACGCCAACCACGCCGAAAAAGACGCCGCUCACUCAGACGCCAACGCCGCUCACGCCGACGACGCCGAUCACGCCGACGCCUCUCACGCCGAAGCCAACCACGCCGAAAACGCCGACGCAGCCCGUGCCAAGGACGCCGCCCGUUGCCGGAACGUCACCGCCGCACCAAGCCGACUCCUCACGCACGACGCCGACUCCAGCACCACGAAGGUACGUCCUGACGUCACCCGCACCGCCACGUGUUACGUUACCGACGCCUACCGCUCUGACAAAGACGCCCGUCGUCCUGACGCCCACGCCCGUCGUCCCGACGCCGACGCCCGCCGUCCCGACACCCGCCGUGCCGACGCUCAUCGACUUGACGUCUCCCGACACAAGUCCGAUCCCGCCGCCGCCUGCCACACUGCGUUUCGUCGACCCGACGCCACUUAUCCCGACGCCGACGCUCGCCGUCCCGACGCCGACAAUUCCGCUUCCGCCACCUCCUGUCCUGGAGCCGCCAACCUCGGCACCUCUCGUCGACCUGACGUCUCCCGACGCUGGUCCAAACGCAUCAUCGCCAGCAAGACCUCGUUUCGCCGACCUGACGCCACUCAUCCCGACUAUGAUGACGCUUGACUCGCCGAAGCCAACCGAGCGACGCCCGACAACGACCGUCCCACCGCAGUCUGCCACGCCGUCCAGCACCCGCCUCGUGUCGGAGACACCUCCCGACGCCGGAAUGACCUCGCCACCGCACCGAACCGCCGUCCCGACGCCACCAAGGUCAUUUCCGGCGAAACCCGCAUCGUCUCCGCCACACGACUCGCCACGGACGCCACCAGACUCGACGCCGACGCUUCGUGUCACCCUGUCGCCACCACCUGGCUUCGACGUCAUCAUGCCGUCGUCACCGCCACCAGAGUGCGCAGUAGCAAACAGGACGCUUUGCGACACGAUGUCCAGGGCCCUGACGCCGAGACGCCUGAGCGCCGCCCCGCCGCCUGGGUUCGCUCCUCUGUGCCCGCCCGGAUUCGCCCCGCUGUGCCCGCCUGGCUUCGAAGCACAGCCAGUUGAUCAUGCCCGAGUGAGACAGACGCGCGCGACGCCGACACUGACGCCGCCUCCAUGCCCACCUGACGCGACGCCCGGAACGACCGAGACGCCACGACGCCCGAUUCCGACGCCGAUCGCCGCAGUACCGGAACACCGGUCAAGUGCCCUGCCGCACGAGACGCCACCCAAAUGUCGCAAGUUGGCAACAUUGGGACGCCGCACCGUGAAGAAUCGCCUGAGCUCCCUGCGUCCGCCUGUCGCGAUGCAGGUCGACGCCACGACGCCGGGACGCCCGACCGUCCCACCACCGAACGUGACCACCACCCGGACUUCGACACCUGUCACCCGUCUGUCACGACGGGCCGCGAAGCGCCCGCCUGUCGGCGAGGCUGAGCCGGGCCGUGCCGAGCGCCGCCCGCGCUUGCUGCCCGCCUGCCACGAGCCGCCUGACCUUGGCCGCCGCCGCCCCUGCCGGCCGGCGCCCUGGCCACCGCCACGCUAUCACACGCAGCAGCCGCCGCAGCCGCAGCUGACGCAGAUUUGGGGCUCGGGACAACUGGUGGGUCACCACCCACAAGGUUAGUCAGCCAGCGCCCAUUCUGUCCGUGUGUAUCGUCCUCCAUAGUGUAAAUAUUGCUCAACUGUCAUUUUGUAAACAUUGCUCGCCGCCAUCAUGUAAACAUUGCUCGCCCUUCCAUCGUGUAAACAUUGCUUGUCCGUCCGUCAUGUCAACAUUGCCACCUGCCCGCACAAACAUAAACAUCAACAUUGCCACGUGGGAGUGCGCGACGUAAACACCACAGGCAACGCCCCCCAACCAUCUGUCAAACGGCGCUGUCAUAUCGGCCUACUUUCGGAGGGGGCAAUUGACGUCGUCCGGGCCUGCGGCCCCUUUGAGCCCGAUAUGACACCGCCCAACCACCGUUUCAGUUCAAACCUCCCGCUCGUGCGUGCGUGUGUGCGUGUGUGUCUAGCCCGGCAAGAGGGCGCUUAGCUGCAGUGCACCGCACCCCUAAUUUGCUACGUUUUAAUAUUAUUUGUAAACCCUUUUUGUUUUCAUUCGUCUUUGCCCCAGUGUUGUGCAAUUUACUUGUGUUUUCUGUAAUUUAAAUAGGUUACCUUAAAUAACUAUAGACGUUGCCCGGGCGGACCCGAACAGGCACGGACUUGGACGAGGAUAGGAAUGCUUUUAUAUGAAUUAUCAUUAAAUAAGUAAAUAGUAACAAACUUUCCAUUGUCAGUAAUUUUUAUAUAUUUUUAAUGUUUAUCUGUAAUUUACUCAACUUUCGCCGGGGCACGGAGUCGUAGAAUACAGUAACGGUAAUUGUGUUGGCGCGAAGGGCGCCAUGUUGCCACCUGCGAGCGAUGAGCUCAGCCCAGUCCAUCUUCAUCACUGACCGAGAGCAGACGCGCCAGCACCCCGGGGACUUCAACCUUUGUUCUGCACUGACCAAGUAAUUCUGUCUCGUUAAGUAUUUCUGAAUCUCUUUCGCUCGUCAUCCUCGGGGCAGCUCUCGGCCAGCGGGCUGUUUAAUUAAUUAAUUGUCUCAGUCGAGUUUUUUCAUCACCGUGUAAUAAGUAUACUUUGCAGCAUGGCCACGUGUGUGGACCAUGCCCUCACCUAAACCGAUUCGUGCCUCAGGCUUUUUAACCGUGUAAUGUGUAACGUGUAACGGGCGUGUAGAGAGACGUGUUAGUGAAAUUAAAUCUGGAGAAUAAAUAUAAAGCCCAAGUACCGCUACCCGUACUACGACGAGCACGGCAGGGGCAAGCUGCUGUACGGCUACGGCGGGCCCCAGCUCUACAAGU